CAGGCAUGCUGGAGCCCCGCAGCGGCGCCUGGGCAUGGGAUGAUGGCCGAUCGGUCAGGUCAUCCGCCCGACACCGUAAGUUCAACCGGGGCUUAA
rfam:Ensifer adhaerens OV14 chromosome 1 sequence.